AGCAGAGGCGACGCUGGCGACGGCGGUCAGCACGGAGCGAGCAGGAAAGCGAGGCCAUUUGAGCAGCCAAACCAAGAGUCCUGAGGAAUGUCACGAGUAGCCCAUGCAACAGAGGAAUCAAGAUGCUCUCAGACCAUAACAGGGACGAGGAGCCGCCAGGGGAGCUCUCUGAACACCAGGUGAAGGAGCAACUCGUGGAGGUGCGGCACCAGACUGUUCUUUAAUGGAAUCAUAGAGGACUAAGGUCUCAUCUGGAGAAAAUUUUAGAGGAAGGGUUACAUAUUCAUCAUGUUGUUCAGCUGACGCACAGUCUUGUAAUC